rnacentral:tRNA from 1 species
GGUGGUCGUAGCUCAGUUGGUUAGAGCAUCAGAUUGUGGUUCUGAGGGUCGUGGGUUCAAAUCCCAUCUUCCACCC